CCUCGUGCUCUACGAAUGGGAGUUCAUAUCUGUCUGUUAUGGAGUAGAUAUCAUCCUUCCCUUCUCAGGAUACUAAUAACAAUUUAACAGGCUGGCUGAACACAGCCUGCAUGCGCUGAGAAUUAUCAUCCUCUCCCCCUGUUCCCCCCCUGGCUCUUAGGAUCCGUAUCACGAGGGGGGAGGCACCCCCCGAGCGGGUUACAGAGAGCCAGCCCCUUCGCUUCCUGCUCUUAGGACCCCCGAAUCACAGGGGGGAGGCACGCCGCGAGGCGGCGGUCUCAGAGCCAGCCCCUCUUCCCCCCCCACUGCCGUAGAACCCCAUCGCAGGGGGAGACCCUCGCGAGGCCGUUCUCUUGAGCCAGCCCCUCUUCCCCACUGGCCUUUAGGACCCCCGUACGCAGGGGGGGAGCACCCCCCGCUGAGGGCCGGUACUCAGAGCCAUCCCCUUCGUCCCCCAUCUGGCCC
rnacentral:lncRNA from 1 species